rnacentral:lncRNA from 1 species
AUAUGCAGGCACACAUAUUUGGGGACAUUCAUAGGCGUAUUAAUGGUCUUGACACUUCAGCGUGUGAAGAUAGGGCCGUGGGGUGGAACUGGAGGCCAUGCUUGGGAUGAAGGAGGCCAUGGUGCCAGUGCUGGCAGUUACACCGGAGUACGCCGAAUGAGUAUAGGGUCUUCCUGGUGUGUCAGCUCGAUGUUGUUUGAAUACGACGACAAUGGCAAACGUGUGAAAGGUACCCUGCAUGGAGAGAGAGACAAUGGAAUACCCGAGGAGGAGCUCGACUUCCAUGGGGAGGUGUUGACGCACAUGUGCGGCUACCAUGACAACCACCUCAUCCGGUGGUUGCAGUUCAGGAGCAACCGGAACAGGACGUUCGGACCAUACGGCAAUCUUCUAGAAGACCAGGCUGGAUGGACGCGGUUCGAGGUCUCCAUGGAGCACUCGGGGUCCAUCGUCGGCUUCUGCGGCCGGAGUGACGACUUCGUGGACGCCAUCGGCGUCUACGUCGCCGUCUGGAAUCCCGAGAGGUUCUAUGAUAGCAUGCGCAGGCAGGGCGUCCGCGUUUACCGGGCGUCGCCUCUGCGCAUGGACCUGCGUCAAAUAGAAGAAGAGAAAAAGAAGGAAGAAGUGGAACGUGGGCGCCUACAGAAGGAGCUCGAGGAGGGGCGAGAAAGUCUUCGGAACAUACGAUUGAAGCUUGAUAUGCCGCCGGAUCAGAGAAAACGCCUGAUACGACGCGACCUGCGAGUGGAGCAUCAAGAAAUCGAACGUCAGUUACAAGAGAUGCAGCAACUGGAACGCGAGCGUCAGCAACUGGAGCAACAAGAAAUCGAACGUCAGUUACCCUCGCGUCAGCAACUGGAGCAACAAGAAAUCAAACGUCAGUUACAAGACAUGGAACGCGAGCGUCAGCUACACCGGUGGAGAAACUUUGUAACCGGUGGAGAAACUUUGUAACCCCCCUUUA